GAGCGAACGCUGGCGGCAGGCUUAACACAUGCAAGUCGAGCGGGCGUAGCAAUACGUCAGCGGCAGACGGGUGAGUAACGCGUGGGAACGUACCUUUUGGUUCGGAACAACACAGGGAAACUUGUGCUAAUACCGGAUAAGCCCUUACGGGGAAAGAUUUAUCGCCGAAAGAUCGGCCCGCGUCUGAUUAGCUAGUUGGUGAGGUAACGGCUCACCAAGGCGACGAUCAGUAGCUGGUCUGAGAGGAUGAUCAGCCACAUUGGGACUGAGACACGGCCCAAACUCCUACGGGAGGCAGCAGUGGGGAAUAUUGGACAAUGGGCGCAAGCCUGAUNCAGCCAUGCCGCGUGAGUGAUGAAGGCCCUAGGGUUGUAAAGCUCUUUUGUGCGGGAAGAUAAUGACG
rnacentral:rRNA from 1 species